UUCGCAAUGCCCGAAAGGGUGACGAAGCGACGCCGCGUGCGGGAAGAAGGCCUUCGGGUUGUAAACCGCUGUCGGGAGUUAGGAAAUGCAAGGAUGUUAAUAGCGUCUUUGCUUGACUAAGGCUCCGGAGGAAGCCACGGCUAACUCUGUGCCAGCAGCCGCGGUAAUACAGAGGCGGCAAGCGUUGUUCGGAAUUAUUGGGCGUAAAGAGCACGUAGGCGGCCGUGUAAGUCGGUUGUGAAAGCCUUCCGCUCAACGGGAGAACGGCAUCCGAUACUGCAUGGCUCGAGUGCGGGAGGGGAGAGUGGAACUUCUGGUGGAGCGGUGAAAUGCGUAGAUAUCAGAAGGAACACCGGCGGCGAAGGCGACUCUCUGGCCCGUAACUGACGCAGAGUGUGCGAAAGCUAGGGGAGCAAACGGGAUUAGAUACCCCGGUAGUCCUAGCCGUAAACGAUGGGCACUAAGUAGAGGGGUUUU
rnacentral:rRNA from 1 species